AGAUUUUAAAUCUCUGUAUGUAUAUCUCUAACUUUUAUUUCAAAUAUACAGGAUACAUUAGUGUGUGGGAAGAGGGUGUAUAUUUGAUGUUUACAUAAGAAGUGGUAUCCAAGAUGGGUACCGGUUGAAUUGUGACCUUAUGUGUCAUUUAUUACAACAGGAGUGAGCCUUUCAGGUGAGCAGAUUGUUUGAGGGGAGUUAGAGUCCUUACAUAUGUCAUCAGCACAACAUUUUCACAGACUGCUGGGCAGAAUUUAGACAGCUUGAGGAAGUGAUGACAAUGGCUGGAAGAAGAGUAGAAAGGGAGAGACACAGGUGAGAAUGACAGACAUUCAGGAAGUGGGUCAGCAGGAGCAAGAUAUGGCACCACAAAAUCAAGAUCAACAGGAUAAUAGAGUGUCAAGCUGUAUUUAAAACUUACGAACAUGCAAAACUAUUCAAUAUAUAGUUUAAUAGUACAGAAAGUUUAAGUCAAGCUACAAAGAAAGGCAGUUGACUAAUGAACAUAUAAUUCAGGAGAGUGGCUACCGAGGACGUGGUUGUUUGGUGAAGGGGGUGGUGGCCCACAGAAGGAGGCUAAGAACUUUGGCCUACCUGUCAGUCCUGCCCUGCGUGUCACCUCAGCCUGGAAGUCCAUAGGACUGUGAUGAAGAUGACUGCUUGCAUUUUCUGAAUCACUUUGUCGAUGAGACAUGCAUCCUAUUAGAUCUAACAAAGCUUCACAGAAAGGUUGUUUUGAAGUUGACACUGAGGAAGAUAUAAGUGCUCUAGGAUCAGUAUGUGAGGCUGCCACAAACAUGCUAUAGUCUGCACAUUCUUGCAGAGAGGUUGCAGAGUCUGCUUGGGAGAGAAGCCUCAAAAACAUGGCUGGUGUCUUGGCAGAGUUUGCUCUGGCCCCCAGGAGGGUGUACAAACAGCCUUCAUGAGAAGGUGACUUGCUGGCCACUCUUAACCACUAGAAGAAACUGAUGCCAUGGAACUUUGAAAAAUCAGAAAGCAAUUCCACAAAAGAAGAACCUCUGAAGAUAGUAGAGCCCAAUGAAGAUAAAUGACAUCGCCCAUAGGAGGGAACAGUGGUAUCAACCUAAAGGGGCUCACUGCCCUAUGUGCUGGAGGCCAAUACUAUGACAAUGGGUUUUUGAGAAAAUAAAAGCUUUGCAUUGAGAUUCAACCCCUAAAGAGACAGGAGUCAAUCUCAUCUGUGUCCCUGUGU
rnacentral:lncRNA from 1 species